rnacentral:SRP_RNA from 1 species
GCCGGGCGUGGUGGCUCACGCCUGUAAUCCCAGCACUUUGGGAGGCCGAGGCGGGUGGAUCACCUGAGGUCAGGAGUUUGAGACCAGCCUGGCCAACAUGGUGAAACCCUGUCUCUA